rnacentral:rRNA from 1 species
UACGGAGGGUGCAAGCGUUAAUCGGAAUUACUGGGCGUAAAGCGCACGCAGGUGGCUGAGUCAGUCGAUUGUGAAAGCCCUGGGCUUAACCUGGGAAUUGCAGUCGAUACUACUCAGCUAGAGUAUGGGAGAGGGUAGUGGAAUUCCCGGUGUAGCGGUGAAAUGCGCAGAUAUCGGGAGGAACACCAGUGGCGAAGGCGACUACCUGGCCCAUUCUUGACGCUGAGGCGCGAAAGCUAGGGGAGCGAACGGG